rnacentral:rRNA from 1 species
CGAAAUCAAUUUAAAAUUGAUAACAUAAGGGAAAAUAAUGAUAUUACCUUAUUAUUAGUGUCGUCCAAAACUGGUGCCAGAAGACUCGGUAAGGCCAGAGACACAAACGUUAAUCGUCUUAAUCAGGCGUAAAGGGUUUGUAGGCGGCUUUUAAUUUUCUUAUAAAAUUUUUUAAAAUUAAAUAAGUUAAGAAUAAAAGCUAGAAUCAAAUAGAGGAUAUAUCAAAUAAUGCUUAGAGUAGGUCUGAUAUCCAUAGAUACUAAGUAGAAUAUUAAAGGCGAAAGCUUUUUUCCAUAAAUGAUUGACGCUCAGAAACGAAGGUGAGGAUAGGAAAUAGGAUUAGAUACCCAAAAUACCCCUCUCUGUCAACGAUGAAUGGUAAUUAUUAAUAAUAAAUUUAUUAUUAAUGAUAAUGUUAACACGAUAACCAUUCCGCCUUGUGAGUACAACUGCAAAGUUGAAAACAAAAAAAUUAGUCGGUUUCGGAGCAAACGAAGUGAAGCAUGUUAUUUAAUUCGAUAAAUCCGCAAAA